rnacentral:rRNA from 1 species
AAAAGAACUUUGAAGAGAGAGUUCAAAAGGGCGUGAAACCGCUUAGAAUAAAACGGACGGAGCCGUCGGGAGCCUCCGGGAAUCAGUCUUACGAUACGUGAACGUGUCGCGGCUCGGAACGCGAGUCCGAUCGCGAGACGCUAGUAACGUUCGUUAGGCGCAUUUCUCGGAGGUGAGCACCGCGACCGAUACGAUAGGUCGACGAAGCGUUCGGAUUGAGGUCGAGACUCUUCGGAGACUCGUAACCAGUCCGUUCGUUGAAUCGUUGAACCGAACGAAGUAUCGAGCGCCUAAGUAAAAUAUACAUCGGCCUUAAAGCUCGCUCGAGUAACGGCUAGUCGGUCAAUAGUGUCGGCGCUUGCUCGCAGGUGCCGAUCUAUUCGAUUCGAUUCGAAAAGUUAUCGGCGACAUUUCGAUGUAUAGGCGUCGGCGGUGUCAGUGUCGGCCACCCAUCCGACCCGUCUUGAAACACGGACCAAGGAGUCUAACAUAUGCGCGAGCUAAUGGGUGGAAAACCCAAAAGCGCAAUAAAAGUAAAGGCUGUUUCGGACAGCUAAGGUAUGAUCCCGGUAAUCCGAGCGAUUCUGGGCGCAAUACCGUCCCGUCCCGACCGCAUGUCGGUAGGGCGGAGAUAGAGUGCAUACGUUGGGACCCGAAAGAUGGUGAACUAUGCCUGAGCAGAGCGAAGCCAGAGGAAACUCUGGUGGAGGUUCGUAGCGGUUCUGACGUGCAAAUCGAUCGUCAGAC